CGGGAAACUGGGGAUAAUACCCUAUAGACUAUGGAUGCUGGAAUGCUCUGUAGCCGAAAGGUCCGCCGCUGUAGGAUGGGUCUGCGGCCGAUUAGGUUGUUGUUGGGGUAACGGCCCAACAAGCCUGUAAUCGGUACGGGUUGUGGGAGCAAGAGCCCGGAGAUGGAUUCUGAGACACGGAUUCCAGGCCUUACGGGGCGCAGCAGGCCCGAAACCUUUACAUGCCGGGAAACCGUGAUAAGGGAACUCUGAGUGCCCGUAAAAUCGGGCUGUCCAUCAGUUUAAAUAACUGGUGAAGAAAGGGCCGGGCAAGACCGGUGCCAGCCGCCGCGGUAACA
rnacentral:rRNA from 1 species